rnacentral:rRNA from 1 species
GAUGAACGCUGGCGGCGUGCCUAAUACAUGCAAGUCGAGCGAACAGACGAGGAGCUUGCUCCUCUGACGUUAGCGGCGGACGGGUGAGUAACACGUGGAUAACCUACCUAUAAGACUGGGAUAACUUCGGGAAACCGGAGCUAAUACCGGAUAAUAUAUUGAACCGCAUGGUUCAAUAGUGAAAGACGGUUUUGCUGUCACUUAUAGAUGGAUCCGCGCCGCAUUAGCUAGUUGGUAAGGUAACGGCUUACCAAGGCAACGAUGCGUAGCCGACCUGAGAGGGUGAUCGGCCACACUGGAACCGAGACACGGUCCAGACUCCUACGGGAGGCAGCAGUAGGGAAUCUUCCGCAAUGGGCGAAAGCCUGACGGAGCAACGCCGCGUGAGUGAUGAAGGUCUUCGGAUCGUAAAAAUCUGUUAUUAGGGAAGAACAAAUGUGUAAGUAACUAUGCACGUCUUGACGGUACCUAAUCAGAAAGCCACGGCUAACUACGUG